rnacentral:rRNA from 1 species
UACGUAGGUGGCGAGCGUUGUCCGGAAUUACUGGGUGUAAAGGGAGCGUAGGCGGGAGAGCAAGUCGACUGUGAAAUCUAUGGGCUUAACCCAUAGCUGCGAUCGAAACUGUUCAUCUUGGGUGAAGUAGAGGCAGGCGGAAUUCCUAGUGUAGCGGUAAAAUGCGUAAAUAUCAGGAGGAACACCAGUGGCGAAGGCGGCCUGCUGGGCUUUAACUGACGCUGAGGCUCGAAAGCGUGGGUAGCAAACAGG